CAAAUAUGAGGAGGCACAACUGUUUUCAACACUGAUGAUGUCUUCAGAUGGAAAAUGCUCAUCUUGUCGCUUUCCCACUGAUGUAUCCCAGCGGAGACUCUGGGUUCGCACCAUAAGCCUGACCCUGAAACCACUACUAUUUCCUGCUCCAUCACAAUUCAAGCAGUGGCUUCAUUGUGGAUCCUGCGGUGGCUUCAUUGACCCAUUAAGAGGAGAUCUGGCCUACACAACAACACACUUAAGCUUCUGCACAACUGCAAUUUGUAAAACACACACACACUGAUUUAGUCUGCAUGCAACUUUGGUAUAUGAAUAAAAAUACUGAAAUAUCCACCACAAGCAUAAAUCCAAACACACAGGAGUAGAUUAUCAC
ensembl:lncRNA